rnacentral:rRNA from 1 species
AUUGAACGCUGGCGGCAUGCCUUACACAUGCAAGUCGAACGGCAGCACGGGGGCAACCCUGGUGGCGAGUGGCGAACGGGUGAGUAAUGCAUCGGAACGUGCCCAGUAGUGGGGGAUAACUAGUCGAAAGAUUAGCUAAUACCGCAUACGACCUAUGGGUGAAAGCGGGGGAUUCGCAAGAACCUCGCGCUAUCGGAGCGGCCGAUGUCUGAUUAGCUAGNGGCGGGGUAAAGGGCCCACCAAGGCUUCGAUCAGUAGCUGGUCUGAGAGGACGACCAGCCACACUGGGACUGAGACACGGCCCAGACUCCUACGGAGGCAGCAGUGGGGAAUUUUGGACAAUGGGCGCAAGCCUGAUCCAGCCAUGCCGCGUGCGGGAAGAAGGCC